UACAGAGGGGGCAAGCGUUGUUCGGAAUUAUUGGGCGUAAAGGGCGCGUAGGUGGCCAUGCAAGUCGGAGGUGAAAUCCCUCGGCUCAACUGAGGAACUGCCUCCGAUACUGCAUGGCUUGAGUCCCGGAGAGGGUGGUGGAAUUCCCAGUGUAGCGGUGAAAUUCGUAGAUAUUCGCAAGAACACCAGUGGCGAAGGCGGCUCACUGGCCCGAUACUGACGCUGAGGCACGAAAGCGUGGGGAGCAAACAGG
rnacentral:rRNA from 1 species